rfam:Triticum aestivum genome assembly, contig: Triticum_aestivum_CS42_TGACv1_scaffold_292599_4AL
GUAGAACUUCCUCCGUCCGAAAAUGCUUGCCCCUCAAAUGGAUGUAUCUAGCAUCAAAUUAGUAUUAGAUACAUCCAUUUGAGAGACAAGUUUGGGACAAGUUUUUUCGGACGGAGGGAGUACUGG